rnacentral:rRNA from 1 species
UGGAGAGUUUGAUCCUGGCUCAGGACGAACGCUGGCGGCGUGCCUAAUACAUGCAAGUCGACCUAAAUGGAGAGUUUGAUCCUGGCUCAGGACGAACGCUGGCGGCGUGCCUAAUACAUGCAAGUCGAGCGRAGUUGAUGGAGUGCUUGCACUCCUGAUGCUUAGCGGCGGACGGGUGAGUAACACGUAGGUAACCUGCCCGUAAGACUGGGAUAACAUUCGGAAACGAAUGCUAAUACCGGAUACACAACUUGGUCGC